rnacentral:rRNA from 1 species
AACGAACGCUGGCGGCAGGCCUAACACAUGCAAGUCGAGCGCCCCGCAAGGGGAGCGGCGGACGGGUGAGUAACGCGUGGGAACGUACCCUUUGCUACGGAAUAGCCUCGGGAAACUGGGAGUAAUACCGUAUGUGCCCUUCGGGGGAAAGAUUUAUCGGCAAAGGAUCGGCCCGCGUUGGAUUAGGUAGUUGGUGGGGUAAUGGCCUACCAAGCCGACGAUCCAUAGCUGGUUUGAGAGGAUGAUCAGCCACACUGGGACUGAGACACGGCCCAGACUCCUACGGGAGGCAGCAGUGGGGAAUCUUAGACAAUGGGCGCAAGCCUGAUCUAGCCAUGCCGCGUGAGCGAUGAAGGCCUUAGGGUUGUAAAGCUCUUCAGUGGGGAAGAUAAUGACUGUACCCACAGAAGAAGCCCCGGCUAACUCCGUGCCAGCAGCCGCGGU